AAAAUCCGUCGACUUUAUACGUCGUGAGGGUUCAAGUCCCUCUAUCCCCA
rnacentral:tRNA from 1 species